rnacentral:rRNA from 1 species
AUUGAACGCUGGCGGCAGGCCUAACACAUGCAAGUCGAGCGAAGCCUUCGGGCUUAGCGGCGGACGGGUGAGUAACGCGUGGGAACGUGCCCUUUGGUACGGAAUAGCCCCGGGAAACUGGGAGGAAUACCGUAUGUGGUCGAGAGACGAAAGAUUUAUCGCCAAAGGAUCGGCCCGCGUUGGAUUAGGUAGUUGGUGGGGUAAUGGCCUACCAAGCCGACGAUCCAUAGCUGGUUUGAGAGGAUGAUCAGCCACACUGGGACUGAGACACGGCCCAGACUCCUACGGGAGGCAGCAGUGGGGAAUCUUAGACAAUGGGGGAAACCCUGAUCUAGCCAUGCCGCGUGAUCGAUGAAGGCCUUAGGGUUGUAAAGAUCUUUCAGUGGGGAAGAUAAUGACUGUACCCACAGAAGAAGCCCCGGCUAACUCCGUGCCAGCAGCCGCCGUAA